rnacentral:rRNA from 1 species
AUUGAACGCUGGCGGCAUGCCUUACACAUGCAAGUCGAACGGUAACAGGUCUUCGGAUGCUGACGAGUGGCGAACGGGUGAGUAAUACAUCGGAACGUGCCUAGUAGUGGGGGAUAACUACUCGAAAGAGUGGCUAAUACCGCAUGAGAUCUACGGAUGAAAGCAGGGGAUCGCAAGACCUUGUGCUACUAGAGCGGCGGAUGGCAGAUUAGGUAGUUGGUGGGAUAAAAGCUUACCAAGCCGACGAUCUGUAGCUGGUCUGAGAGGACGAUCAGCCACACUGGGACUGAGACACGGCCCAGACUCCUACGGGAGGCAGCAGUGGGGAAUUUUGGACAAUGGGCGCAAGCCUGAUCCAGCAAUGCCGCGUGCAGGAUGAAGGCCUUCGGGUUGUAAACUGCUUUUGUACGGAACGAAAAGCUCUGGGUUAAUACCCUGGGGUCAUGACGGUACCGUAAGAAUAAGCACCGGCUAACUACGUGCCAGCCGCCGCGUAAGAC